rnacentral:rRNA from 1 species
UCUCGCGUCAGGAUAUGCCUAGGUGGGAUUAGCUAGUUGGUGAGGUAAGGGCUCACCAAGGCGACGAUCCCUAGCUGGUCUGAGAGGAUGAUCAGCCACACUGGAACUGAGACACGGUCCAGACUCCUACGGGAGGCAGCAGUGGGGAAUAUUGCACAAUGGGCGCAAGCCUGAUGCAGCCAUGCCGCGUGUGUGAAGAAGGCCUUCGGGUGUAAAGCACUUUCAGUCGUGAGGAAGGUAGUGUAGUUAAUAGCGGCAUUAUUUGACGUUAGCGACAGAAGAAGCACCGGCUAACUCCGUGCCAGCAGCCGCGGUAAUACGGAGGGUGCGAGCGUUAAUCGGAAUUACUGGGCGUAAAGCGCAUGCAGGUGGUUUGUUAAGUCAGAUGUGAAAGCCCGGGGCUCAACCUCGGAAUAGCAUUUGAAACUGGCAGACUAGAGUACUGUAGAGGGGGGUAGAAUUUCA